UGCCAAUCUACUCCCUCCACAGAUUUUGCC
rnacentral:piRNA from 1 species